rnacentral:miRNA from 1 species
GGCAGCCAGGGGAAUGGGCGAGCUUGGGCCCAUUCCUUUCCUUACCCCACCCCCCACCCCCUGUAG